rnacentral:antisense_RNA from 1 species
AAGAACAGAGGCAAGCCUCCAGCCAGGAGCUCAUGAAAUCAUGAACUGAGGCCUCAGUGCAAUAGCUCAUGAGGAACUGAAUUAUUUCAACAGCCAGUUAUGCUUCAAGCCAUACUUAAGAUCGAUGAAUCCUCCUUUAUAAACACAGAUGUAGUAAACACUCACUGAGAAAACGAGGUUGAAAAACCAAAUGCUGGGGAGGAGCCAAGAUGGCCGAGUAGGAACAGCUCCAGUCUAUAGCGCCCAGCCUGAGCGACGCAGAAGACGGGUGAUUUCUGCAUUUCCAUCUGAGGUACCGGGUUCAUCUCACUAGGGAGUGCCAGACAGUGGGCGCAGUUCUGGAAGUUGGAAGUACAAGAUCAGAUUGCCAGCAUCAUCAGGUACUCAUGAGGGCCGUCUUCCAGCUUGCAGACUGCCAACUUCUCAUUGUGUCC